CGCAUCUGUGCAUGCAGCAUAUCAAUAAGCGGAGGAAAAGAAACUAACAAGGAUUCCCUUAGUAACGGCGAGUGAAGCGGGGAAGAGCUCAAAUUUGAAAUCUUCAAGGUUUUACCUUGACGAAUUGUAGUUUAAAGAAGUGUUUUCUGUUGAAGUUUUGGUAAAAGUUCUUUGGAAUAGGACAUCAUAGAGGGUGAGAAUCCCGUAUUUGACCAUUAUUUUCAGCUGUGUGAUACACUUUCAAAGAGUCGGAUUGUUUGGGAAUGCAGUCCAAAAUGGGUGGUAAAUUUCAUCUAAAGCUAAAUAUUGGCGAGAGACCGAUAGCGAACAAGUACCGUGAGGGAAAGAUGGAAAAGAACUUUGAAAAGAGAGUUAAACAGUACGUGAAAUUGUCAAAAGGGAAGCGCUUGACACCAGUGUUGUUUUUCUCGAAAAUCAAUUAAAAAGAGUUAGAUUUUGUUGUGUAUUGACCUUAACAGCUUGCAUUUCAAUUUUCCUUGCUUUUUUUAAUGCACUUUUCGUUUAACAAGUCAACAUCAGUUUCUUUUGUUGUAAAAAGGUCAUUGGAAGGUGGCUUUCUUUUCGGAGAAAGUGUUUAUAGCCUUUGACUCCUGCAAUCGGAGAGACUGAGGUCUGCAGCGUAGAUCCUUCGGGGUUAGAUACAUUUGUGCUAAGUUAUAGCAUUUUUAUAGACAACUUGUUGACUAUGAUUUAGUCUUGUAGCUUACUCGCUUAUGUUAUUUUACCUACGCUUAGGAUGUUGAUCUCUCACAGUCGAGC
rnacentral:rRNA from 1 species